UACAGAGGGGGCAAGCGUUGUUCGGAAUUACUGGGCGUAAAGGGCGCGUAGGCGGCCUUCUAAGUCGAACGUGAAAUCCCUGGGCUCAACCCAGGAACUGCGUCCGAUACUGGAAGGCUUGAAUCCGGGAGAGGGAUGCGGAAUUCCAGGUGUAGCGGUGAAAUGCGUAGAUAUCUGGAGGAACACCGGUGGCGAAGGCGGCAUCCUGGACCGGUAUUGACGCUGAGGCGCGAAAGCCAGGGGAGCAAACGGGG
rnacentral:rRNA from 1 species